rnacentral:siRNA from 1 species
AAGAGGACAUGUGUUCGAAUGUGC